rnacentral:sRNA from 12 species
UAUAACUACAGGUAGUAGUACACUGUGUACCGGUGAGCAGUGAAUUUACGUUUAAGCGUACUCUAAGUACGUCAUCUCGCUGG